rnacentral:piRNA from 1 species
UACCAAUGGUUUAGACUUGGA